AGAGUUUGAUCAUGGCUCAGAUUGAACGCUGGCGGCAUGCUUUACACAUGCAAGUCGAGCGGCAGCGCGGGGCAACCUGGCGGCGAGCGGCGAACGGGUGAGUAAUAGAUAGGAACGUAUCCGGGAGUGGGGGAUAACUAGCCGAAAGGUUAGCUAAUACCGCAUAUUCUCCAAGGAGGAAAGCGGGGGACUCCUAAACCGAGCACACGCGGUGGUGUGUUGGGUUUAGGGGCCUCGCGCUCGCGGAGUGGCCUAUCUCCGAUUAGCUAGUUGGUGAGGUAAAGGCUUACCAAGGCGACGAUCGGUAGCUGGUCUGAGAGGAUGAUCAGCCACACUGGGACUGAGACACGGCCCAGACUCCUACGGGAGGCAGCAGUGGGGAAUUUUGGACAAUGGGGGCAACCCUGAUCCAGCCAUGCCGCGUGCGGGAAGAAGGCCUUCGGGUUGUAAACCGCUUUUAUUCGGGAAGAAGGAGUGCGGGAUAAUACCUCGCAUGACGGACGGUACUGGAUGAAUAAGCACCGGCUAACUACGUGCCAGCAGCCGCGGUAACACGGGGGGAGCAAGCGUUGUUCGGAUUCAUUGGGCGUAAAGAGCUCGUAGGCGGCUCUGUAAGUCGGGGGUGAAAGACCACAGCUCAACUGUGGAACCGCCUUCGAUACUGCGGAGCUUGAGGCUGGGAGAGGAAAGUGGAAUUCCUGGUGUAGCGGUGAAAUGCGUAGAUAUCAGGAGGAACACCGGUGGCGAAGGC
rnacentral:rRNA from 1 species